UGUUCUGUGGCUAAGUUGGUUAAAGCACCGGUCUAGCGAAUAUUAGAUCGUGAGUUCAAAUCCCACCAGAACGC
rnacentral:tRNA from 1 species